rnacentral:rRNA from 1 species
AAUGCCGCGUGUGUGAAGAACGCCUGCGGUUUGUAAAGCACUUUCGGUGGGGAGAAAGAGGCCGUUACUAAUACUAAUGGCGGAUGAUGUUACCCACAGAAGAAGCACCGGCUAACUCUGUGCCAGCAGCCGCGGUAAUACAGAGGGUGCGAGCGUUAAUCGGAAUUACUGGGCGUAAAGGGUGCGUAGGUGGUUACUUAAGUUACGUGUGAAAGUCCUGGGCUUAACCUGGGGAUUGCGCCUGAUACUGAAUAGCUAGAGUAUUGUAGAGGAAAGCGGAAUUUCCGGUGUAGCGGUGAAAUGCGUAGAUAUCGGAAGGAACAUCGGUGGCGAAGGCGGCUUUCUGGACAAAUACUGACACUGAGGCACGAAAGCAUGGGGAGCAAACAGGAUUAGAUACCCUGGUAGUCCAUGCUGUAAACGAUGAAGACUGGCUGUUGGGCACCCAAGGGUGUCUAGUAGCGAAGC